UAUCAGAAAUGUUAUGAAAGUGGCUUCAGCUCAUAUUUCCUUAAUCAAACCGAAUCCCAUGGUCAUGUCCAAGUUAAACUGUAAGGAAGUGCAAUUCUACCAAGUGGUCAGGAGAAAGGGAACCAGAUAUUCAUGAGCAACCAAACAACUACUGCAUCCACUUCCCAACCAAAGUAGGAAUCUCCUCAUCUACGUCUCUGACAAGGGCUGAAGGGGAUCUGAUUGGGAAUAUGGGGGGUUUGUGUUGUCAUUUUAAAACCAAGGUAUAUAGGGGAUGUCUUCUGAAUUCAAAGAGUAACAUGGAAUAGUUGCAGAAUUAAUUGUUUCAGUUUCACUUGUCUGCCUUGCUCUGUAGUGUGGGCACCAAAGUUCCCCAGUCCACAUCACAGGUGGCUAGUAGUCAACCCCCACCCUCAAAAGACCAUUACAGCCUAAGAUUAUAAUGGCCAUAGCUGGACCAAGAGCUUAAAGGGUAACCUCAGUCUAACAAUGACAACAGCAUUCAGGUUUGCCUCGAUUUGCAAAUUCAAGUGCACCGAGGCAUACCAUGUGAAAUCACAACAGCAUCAUUCCAGUCAUAAGAAAUCACAGUGAAGAUGAGUGCCAGCAGACAUACGAUAGGAAAACACCUAAGAAUGGAAAGAGUAUGAAUCACAGAAACUCCUGAUGAAUUACCAACUGAGUUCACUGUGAGCUGAACCAAAACGCCAUCACUUCUUCACACAGACUUCUGUCCAGCCAAGGGGAAUGUGGGGUCUUGCUUAGGGCCAAGCACACCAUAUGCAUGGAAUAUCCAUUUUCUGGAGGGCCUCAUCAUCUAGCCGGACAGAAUGUUAUCACCUUCUUAUCCAAAGGCUUUGUCUUAUGGUGAGGAAGCUGGUGAGGCAAGCUGCACUGAACACUCAGGUGUUGUGAAAAUGUCUUCUGGGCAUGUAACAUCACAGUGAGUCACAGAACACAGAGACCAGAGGAUCAAGAAGACUAGACAGGCGUGCUUUGGACGCAUAAAGACCUACCUCAUCUUGCUGCCAACUCAAGACUGCCUUGUAUGGAUGAUCCCUCUGAAAAAAAGUCUUCAAUUGCCUCCCAACCAGGAGGGGUUGGUCUGCCUCCUUUUUUUGGUUUGAGCUUGCCCUUCACUUAAAAGAGGAUAGGCAGGGUUCUGGCAGAGAACUUUCCCAACAUCAGUCCUUUUUGACAGUCCCCCUUCACUCUCCCAUCCAAAAACAGGACUUCAGUGGAAAAUAUAACUGAGGUUCUGGAAGAUGCUCUCCAUGAGCUACAUAUACACAGAACAGUAGCAAAUUAACCUGGAAAUAACCCCCAAAAGACCUUAGGGAAAGACAUUUAUUCUUCAGGGUUUAUAUAAAGCACUGCUUGGGAUGAAGGAAAAUGCUGAUAUUCCAACUGAGUGAAACAUUAACUCAGAUACCAGUAAGAGUCUACAGGAAGAAGUGUAUGGAUUAUGAAUGUGAAAGGCCCUUUGCCACACCUAACAUAGCACCUAAUAGGUAUACACAGUUCAUCCACAUCUUCCAGGCCCUUCAAAAGAUGAAGACCACCCCUCCCCCAGAUCACUUCACAUGCACAGGUGGUUGAGUCUAAAUCCCAGGUAAAAACAAGUUAUGGCAGCAGGAUUCAUGCCCACACUUCUUCAAAUCCCUCAGAGUGUUGGGGACACUCAGGGCUCAAUACAGGCCUUGA
rnacentral:lncRNA from 1 species